rnacentral:rRNA from 1 species
CGCUUUGAUAAUGCUGGGAUGUGAUGGGGAGCGAAAUUUAGUAGCGAAGUAGCUGAUUUCACACUGUCAAGAAAAGUCUCUAUCGAGGUUAAAGGUACCCGUACCGCAAACCGACACAGGUGGGUGAGGAGAGUAUCCUAAGGCCAGCGAGAGAACUGUUGUUAAGGAACUCGGCAAAAUGACCCCGUAACUUAGGGAUAAGGGGUGCCACCAUCAGGUGGCCGCAGAGAAUAGGCUCAAGCGACUGUUUACCAAAAACAUAGGUUUCUGCUAAGUCGCAAGACGAUGUAUAGGAGCUGACGCCUGCCCGGUGCUGGAAGGUUAAGGGGAUCUGUUAGAGCAAUCGAAGCAGUGAACUUAAGCC